rnacentral:rRNA from 1 species
ACGGGAGGCAGCAGUGAGGAAUAUUGGUCAAUGGGCGGAAGCCUGAACCAGCCAAGUCGCGUGAAGGAUGAAGGUAUUAUGUAUUGUAAACUUCUUUAGACGUAGAGAAAUAAGGGGAUCGUGAUCCCUGAUGCUAGUAUACGUAGAAUAAGGAUCGGCUAACUACGUGCCAGCAGCCGCGGUAAUACGUAGGGAGCGAGCGUUAUCCGGAAUUACUGGGUGUAAAGGGAGUGUAGGCGGGACUGUAAGUCAGAUGUGAAAUAUGCCGGCUCAACUGGCAGACUGCAUUUGAAACUGCGGUUCUUGAGUGAAGUAGAGGUAAGCGGAAUUCCUAGUGUAGCGGUGAAAUGCGUAGAUAUUAGGAGGAACAUCAGUGGCGAAGGCGGCUUACUGGGCUUUAACUGACGCUGAGGCUCGAAAGCGUGGGGAGCAAACAGGAUUAGAUACCCUGGUA